rnacentral:lncRNA from 1 species
UUGUGAGUCUUGUGUUUGAAUCCCUGCACAAGCGUGGAGGUUAAUUUUUGCCUCGAUUGAUUGAGAGAGUUUGGAUAAGAUUGGGAGUUUGUGUGAGUGGGUGGUUGAGGAUAAGAGGAUAGUGGGGAGUUAAGAUAUUGAGAGUGGGUGGUUUUGUUUAUAUUUUUAUUUUAUUUUUUUAAAAUUUAUUUUUCUCUCUCUAAAAAAAUGACGUCAAUUUCUUCUAUUUUCCCCUUUCUGAUAUUUUCUUUUCUCCUUCUCUGCAAACCUUUGCUUUUUUCUUAUUCAUUUUGAUUUUUCAAUCUGUUGUUCAAUUGUGCUGUUGGAAUUGUCAGGUUCUCCUUCUAAUUC